rnacentral:rRNA from 1 species
GGAUAACAGUUAGAAAUGACUGCUAAUACCGCAUAAGCGCACGGUACCGCAUGGUACAGUGUGAAAAACUCCGGUGGUGUGAGAUGGAUCCGCGUCUGAUUAGGUAGUUGGUGAGGUAACGGCCCACCAAGCCGACGAUCAGUAGCCGACCUGAGAGGGUGACCGGCCACAUUGGGACUGAGACACGGCCCAAACUCCUACGGGAGGCAGCAGUGGGGAAUAUUGCACAAUGGGCGAAAGCCUGAUGCAGCAACGCCGCGUGAGUG